rnacentral:rRNA from 1 species
GACGAACGCUGGCGGCGUGCUUAACACAUGCAAGUCGAACGGAAAGGCCCUGCUUUUGUGGGUUGCUCGAGUGGCGAACGGGUGAGUAACACGUGUGUAACCUGCCCCUGUCUUUCGGGGAACUUCUGGGAAAUGCGGCUCAUAUCGGAUAUGAUCUCUUGCUGCGCGGUGGGGGUUGGAAAGUUCCGGCUGUUGUGGAUGGACUCGCGGCUUAUCAGCUUCUUGGUGUGGUAGGGGCUUACCAAGCCUUCGACGGGUAGCCGGCCUGGGAGGUUGACCGGCGACCUUGGGACUGAGAUACGGCGCAGUAUGCAAUGGGAGGCAGUGGGGGGGAAUAUUGCACAGUAGGCGCGAGCGUGUGGCGAAGGCGCCGCGUGCGGAAUACCGGCCUACGAGGGGUGAACCGCUGUCGCAGGAGACAAGGCGGUAGUGACGGUAAUGGGUAAAGAAGCACCGGCUAACUACGUG